AGUGAACGCUGGCGGCGUGCCUAAUACAUGCAAGUCGAACGAAGUGGCGCACGGGUGAGUAAUAUAUAGUUAAUCUGCCCUACACAGAGGAACAACAGUUGGAAACGCCUGCUAAUACCUCAUAGUGUAGGAUGAGACUAUAUCGUAUCAGCUAGUUGGUACGGUAAUGGCGUACCAAGGCUAUGACGCGUAACUGGUCUGAGAGGAUGAGCAGUCACAUUGGAAGUGAGACACGGUUCGAACUCCUACGGGAGGCAGCAGUAAGGGAUAGUGCGCAGUGGGGGAAACCCUGACGCAGCAACGGCGCGUGGAGGAUGAUAAUUUUCGGAGCGUAAACUCGUUAUAUCAGGAAAGCGGUACCUGAUGAGAAAGCACCGGCUAACUACGUGCCAGCAGCCGCGGUAAUAC
rnacentral:rRNA from 1 species